UGCUAUGAAACUAGGCUUUUUUAAGUCACAAUAAUUGCUCUCUACAUAAAUCCUCGUCAGUGACUACAAACCCAAGAAAUUAAAACCAUUAAAAUUCUCUAAAAUAAAA